UGUCCCUGUGCUCUUCAGCUCAAGGUGAGCUAGUGCUCUACCACUUGAGCUACAGUUCUACUUCCAGUUUUCUGGUCGUUUAUUGGAGAUAAGAGUUUCAUGGACUUUCCUGCCCGGGCUGGC